UAGGGAAUAUUGGACAAUGGGGGCAACCCUGAUCCAGCCAUGCCGCGUGAGUGAAGAAGGCCCUCGGGUUGUAAAGCUCUUUUGUCCGGAAAGAAAAGCUUCGGGUUAAUACCCCGGGGUUCUGACGGUACCGGAAGAAUAAGCACCGGCUAACUUCGUGCCAGCAGCCGCGGUAAUACGAAGGGUGCACGCGUUACUCGGAAUUACUGGGCGUAAAGCGUGCGUAGGUGGUUGUUUAAGUCUGAUGUGAAAGCCCUGGGCUCAACCUGGGAAUGGCAUUGGAAACUGGGCAGCUAGAGUGCGGUAGAGGGUAGUGGAAUUCCCGGUGUAGCAGUGAAAUGCGUAGAGAUCGGGAGGAACAUCUGUGGCGAAGGCGACUGCCUGGACCAGCACUGACACUGAGGCACGAAAGCGUGGGGAGCAAACA
rnacentral:rRNA from 1 species